rnacentral:rRNA from 1 species
GUUGUUGGGUAGGGGAGCGUUCUGUAAGCCGUUGAAGGUGUGCUGUGAGGCAUGCUGGAGGUAUCAGAAGUGCGAAUGCUGACAUAAGUAACGAUAAAGCGGGUGAAAAGCCCGCUCGCCGGAAGACCAAGGGUUCCUGUCCAACGUUAAUCGGGGCAGGGUGAGUCGACCCCUAAGGCGAGGCCGAAAGGCGUAGUCGAUGGGAAACAGGUUAAUAUUCCUGUACUUGGUGUUACUGCGAAGGGGGGACGGAGAAGGCUAUGUCAGCCGGGCGACGGUUGUCCCGGUUUAAGCAUGUAGGCGGAGGUUCCAGGUAAAUCCGGUACCUUAUUAACGCUGAGGUGUGAUGACGAGGCACUACGGUGCUGAAGUGAUAAAUGCCCUGCUUCCAGGAAAAGCCUCUAAGCAUCAGGUAACACGAAAUCGUACCCCAAACCGACACAGGUGGUCAGGUAGAGAAUACCAAGGCGCUUGAGAGAACUCGGGUGAAGGAACUAGGCAAAAUGGUGCCGUAACUUCGGGAGAAGGCACGCUGAUGUGUAGGUGAAGCCCCUGCGGGUGGAGCUGAAAUCAGUCGAAGAUACCAGCUGGCUGCAACUGUUUAUUAAAAACACAGCACUGUGCAAACACGAAAGUG